rnacentral:rRNA from 1 species
UACGGAGGAUGCAAGCGUUAUCCGGAUUUAUUGGGUUUAAAGGGUGCGUAGGUGGGAUUGUAAGUCAGUGGUGAAAGCCUGUCGCUUAACGAUAGAAAUGCCAUUGAUACUACAAUUCUUGAGUACAAUUGAGGUAGGCGGAAUGUGCAGUGUAGCGGUGAAAUGCUUAGAUAUUGCACAGAACACCAAUUGCGAAGGCAGCUUACUAAACUGUAACUGACACUGAGGCACGAAAGCAUGGGGAGCAAACAGG